CUUGUAGGUGGCCAACUAAGUCAGACGUGAAAUCCCUCGGCUUAACCGGGGAACUGCGUCUGAUACUGGAUGGCUGGAGUGUGGGAGAGGGAUGCGGAAUUCCAGGUGUAGCGGUGAAAUGCGUAGAUAUCUGGAGGAACACCGGUGGCGAAGGCGGCAUCCUGGACCAUUACUGACACUGAAAAGACGAAAGCCAGGGAGCAAAC
rnacentral:rRNA from 1 species